CUUGUGGUUUAGUUGCUCAAACAGCUGUGAACGUAUACUGUUGUGGGUUGAGUAACAGCAUAGAAAUGGGUUGCUUAUCCCAGAAAAUCAGUCAGUUCUUUAUUGCACCAAAAAGAGGAAAAAACGAAAUCUUUAUUUUUCUAGAAGUAACUAGGUUUCCGGCAAGGAUUUGGGGUUUGUAAGAGGUCUGAAUUAUCUAUCGCUGGGAUCACCUCACAUCAUCUACUCCAUCUGCAGUAACUUUCUUCCAUAAGGAAAUCCGAUGGGGUCUAGAUUCC